CUCUUCGUAGCUUAGUGGUAGAGUACUGGUGCGAAAAAGCAAAGGCCCGGGUUCGGUUCCCGGCGAGGGUA
rnacentral:tRNA from 1 species